UGCUCGGGUUCGUGCUGCCCUGGCUUUGAGUUUCCCUCCCUAUGCUGGUCCAGGGUAGGGGUGAGGUGUGGGGCCUGGGGGCACAGGGCAGAUAGCAGCAGUUCUGCCUGCCCGGGAGGGCCAAGCCAAAGCCAACUGGUUUGUACUGGGGUGGGUGGAAGCAGCGAGGGGGGCUCAGUGCUGCCGAUGAACCCCGUCUCGCAUUGAUAUAGCUGUAUUUCUAUACGGAGAACUCUAGGUGUGCCUGUGCGUGUAUAUACGGUAUGUGUGUGUAUAUAUAUUUAUAUGCUGUAUAUAUAAAGAUAUACACAUACAUGGAUUCGUUUUAGUCAUCUGACCAAGCCCCGGUGGGUUUCGCUGCCCAUCAGUGGAUGCAACAGAGAAGCAGGGACGUCCCCCUGUCCCCAUGGCAUUCACAGCAGUGGGAAUCGCAUCUUCUGCCUUAGAGGUGGUCUGGCAACCCGGUAACCCACUGCUCCCUACUGACAGAUGCUAUGGGCACACGCAGCCCCACUCCUGCAUGUGCAGAUCAGCCCCUGCCCGACCGCUCACAGUGCUCCCCCAGAGCAAAUCCUGCCGGCUCCAAAGGGUCAGGCUCUGUCAUGAACCAAAACCCUUUUUCUUAAUGGCUAAUGCUUGCCCUAGAAAUAGGUUCCGCUGAUGGAACCAAACCUCCAACCAGCCCUGCUGGCCCCAUGCAAGCCUCUUGCCUUCUGAGCGGACAGCUCCAGCUGCUGUAUGUCCUCUAAAUUUAGGCACCGGCAUUGUCUCCUCCCAGAUGCAGCAGGGUGUCCCACCGAGCAGCCCCAGGGCUGGGGAGGUGGCAGCUCUUUGUGUCUUCGUUGGGUGAAAGGAUGGAUUUGGGGAUUUGGGCACUGGCAUUUCUCGGACCCAGAAUGGGGCCGAUGCGUAGUGGUGCUUUGCUGUGUUUCCUAGCAAACCAUGUAAAACAAGGCAGGCUCUUGCAACACAGAGCUUUUGGGGCCAGGGGGGUGGGGGUGUGUGCUGCUGUGAGUGCUGGUGGCAGAGCCAAGGAGAAGGGAACGAGGACACAGCGUCGCACCGAUGGGUGCUGAGGCAUCGAUGGGCUGAACUCAAGCUUUGCUGCCCAGGACCUCUGUUUUGCCAACAUGUGGGAUAUGUUUGUAUGAACAAAGCAGCCUGGCUUUCUUUUUUAGGGGGCAGCACAAAAAUGCCCCUAUCUGGCCUUUCCCACAGCAGCUCCCACAGCAGGCAGGGACUGCAAAACCAAAGCCAACCCCGGCAGGGCUGCAGGAAGGACUGCACGAAGGGGGUGAGGAACAGCCCCCAUGCAGCAUCUCUCUUCUGAAGUCACUGGACUCACGUUGCUGCCGCACAAUGUCUCUCUCUUCCCCGGCUUUUUGGACGUUCCUUUCUCCUCCAAGACUCCAGAUCUGCCGUUGUGAUGUCGUGAGCAUGGGAGGGGAGACAGGAGGUUCCCCCCAAAAAGGUCUUGGAGGGCUGAGCCAGUGGGAGGGGGCGGGAUGCUGUACCGCAGUGCGCUCACUCAGACCCACGGUGGAGCCGAGCCGAUGGGUGGCCAUGUACAACUUCCAUGUUUUUUGUCAAAAGGAAAGAAAAAUAAAACCUUGUUG
rnacentral:lncRNA from 1 species